AAGAGCACUUGAUGGAUGCCUUGGCGCUAAGAGGUGAUGAAGGACGUGGUAGGCUGCGAUAAGCUGCGGGGAAUUGUCAACAAGUUUUGAUCCGCAGAUGUCCGAAUGGGGAAACCCGGCCAAUUCGUUGGCCAUUGCAUGCUGAAUACAUAGGUAUGCAAGACGAACCCGGUGAACUGAAAUAUCUAAGUAGCCGGAGGUAAGGAAAUCAAAAUGAGACUCCGUUAGUAGUGACGAGCGAACGCGGAACAGGUCUGUGGUCUGUAAUUAGAAACUGGAAUGCCUUGGAAAAGGCAACCGUAGGGGGUGAUAGUCCCGUACAGGUAAGAAGGUUGCAGAUCCUUGAGUAGGGCGGGGCACGUGGAACCCUGUCUGAAUUUAGGGGGACCAUCCUCUAAACCUAAGUACUCCUUAGCGACCGAUAGUGAACAAGUACCGUGAGGGAAAGGUGAAAAGAACCCCGGUGAGGGGAGUGAAAUAGAACCUGAAAUCGGGUGCUUACAAUCAAGUUGGAGCUUGUGUAGGUUUUGCAGCUUGCUUGUAAUCCCUGCAUGGGUGACAGCGUACCUUUUGCAUAAUGGGUCAGCGAGUUAAUCUGUUGAGCAAGCUUAAGCCGUUAGGUGUAGGCGUAGCGAAAGCGAGUCUGAAUAGGGCGUUUUAGUUCAAUGGAUUAGACCCGAAACCAAGUGAUCUAGCCAUGGCCAGGUUGAAGGUGUAGUAAAGUACAUUGGAGGACCGAACCUGUUACUGUUGCAAUAGUAUUGGAUGAGCUGUGGCUAGGGGUGAAAGGCCAAUCAAACUUGGGAAAUAGCUGGUUCUCCGCGAAAUCUAUUUAGGUAGAGCGUUGUACUAUAAGUUGCCGGGGGUAGAGCACUGAAUGGACUAGGGAGACUCAUCCUCUUACCAAAUCCAAUCAAACUCCGAAUACCGGUCAACUGUUCUACAGCAGACACACUGCGGGUGCUAAGUCCGUGGUGGAAAGGGAAAGAGCCCAGAUCGCCGUCUAAGGUCCCAAAGUUAUGGCUAAGUGUGGAAGGAGGUGAGAAGACCAAUACAGCUAGUAGGUUGGCUUAGAAGCAGCCAUCCUUUAAAGAAAGCGUAACAGCUCACUUGUCUAGAUUUAAGUCUUCUUGCGCCGAAGAUGUAACGGGGCUAAAGCCAUACGCCGAAGACGCGAGUGCCCGGCUUGCCGGGUGCGGUAGCGGAGCGUUUCGUAAGCCUGUGAAGGUGGCCCGUGAGGGUUGCUGGAGGUAUCGAAAGUGAGAAUGCUGACAUGAGUAGCGUAAAGGAGUGUGAAAACCACUCCCGCCGAAAACCUAAGGUUUCCUGUGUUAAGUCAAUCUGCGCAGGGUUAGUCGGACCCUAAGGCGAGGCCGUAAAGGAGUAGUCGAUGGGAAUCAGGUUAAUAUUCCUGAACCUUUUAAGCGUGACGGAUCUUGUGCAGUGCGUGUCUUAUUGGAUUGACGCGUGCUUUAAAGAGGUCCCAGGAAAUAGCGCUUAAGUUAAUAAGUCCGUACCGCAAACCGACACUGGUAGGUGGGUAGAGUAUACUAAGGCGAUUGAGAGAACGAUGCUGAAGGAACUCGGCAAAUUGCACCUGUAACUUAGGGAGAAGGGUGACCUGUGGGUGGGCAACCACCUGUGGGUGGCACAGAGCAGGGGGUAGCGACUGUUUACUAAAAACACAGGGCUCUGCAAACACGUAAGUGGAAGUAUAGGGCCUGACGCCUGCCCGGUGCUGGAAGGUUAAUAUGAGGGGUGAGAGCUCCGAGUUGAAGCCCCAGUAAACGGCGGCCCGUAAAACUGACGGUCCUAAGGUAGCGAAAUUCCUUGUCGGGUAAGUUCCGACCCGCACGAAUGGCGUAACGAUUUCCCCGCUGUCUCCAGCAUCGACUCAGCGAAAUUUGAAUUUCCCCGUNCCUUGAUUGCCGGGGUACCCCGCCUCUGGAGCUAGGACAUUGUAUGGUGGGUAGUUUGACUGGGGCGGUCGCCUCCUAAAGAGUAACGGAGGCGUGCGAUGGUAGGCUAGGGCUGGUCGGAAAUCAGCUUUUAUAGUACAAUGGCAAAAGCCUGCCUGACUGCGAGGCCGACGGGCCGAGCAGAGACGAAAGUCGGUCAUAGUGAUCCGGUGAUUCCGUAUGGAAGGGUCAUCGCUCAACGGAUAAAAGGUACGCCGGGGAUAACAGGCUUAUGGUGCCCAAGAGUUCAUAUCGACGGCACCGUUUGGCACCUCGAUGUCGACUCAUCACAUCCUGGGGCUGGAGCAGGUCCCAAGGGUUGUGCCAACAGCAUAGCUGGGUAGCUACGUAUGGACGGGAUAAUUGCUGAAAGCAUCUAAGCGAGAAACCCCCCUCAAGAUUAGAUUUCCCCAUUAGGGCCGUGAGAGACUAUCACGUUGAUAGGCCGGGUGUGUAAGUGCGGUAACGUAUUUAGCUGACCGGUUCUAAUAGCCCGAUUGGUUUA
rnacentral:rRNA from 1 species